rnacentral:rRNA from 1 species
CAGCAGUAGGGAAUCUUCCGCAAUGGGCGAAAGCCUGACGGAGCAACGCCGCGUGAGUGAUGAAGGUCUUCGGAUCGUAAAACUCUGUUAUUAGGGAAGAACAUAUGUGUAAGUAACUGUGCACAUCUUGACGGUACCUAAUCAGAAAGCCACGGCUAACUACGUGCCAGCAGCCGCGGUAAUACGUAGGUGGCAAGCGUUAUCCGGAAUUAUUGGGCGUAAAGCGCGCGUAGGCGGUUUUUUAAGUCUGAUGUGAAAGCCCACGGCUCAACCGUGGAGGGUCAUUGGAAACUGGAAAACUUGAGUGCAGAAGAGGAAAGUGGAAUUCCAUGUGUAGCGGUGAAAUGCGCAGAGAUAUGGAGGAACACCAGUGGCGAAGGCGACUUUCUGGUCUGUAACUGACGCUGAUGUGCGAAAGCGUGGGGAUCAAACAGGAUUAGAUACCCUGGUAGUCCACGCCGUAAACGAUGAGUGCUAAGUGUUAGGGGGUUUCCGCCCCUUAGUGCUGCAGCUAACGC